UGGAAACAUGGGUUUUAUUUAUGAAAGGUUAAAACACAUAAACACACACUUUCGUGUGUUCUAGAAACGAGCAGGAGCUUCAUGAGAGCUCACAACCCUAACUUUUAUCCAUUUCAUCAAAUUGAAAGGCAAGAUGAAGCUUAAAUUCAUAACCGAGCAUGGAUUAAUGAUCACCUUCACAAGGGGAUCAUAAGUAUAGUGAUCAUGUCAAGAUGGAUGGAAGCAUGGAAGGCUAACGGGUCAAAAGGAGGCGAGGAAACGGAUGCGAAUACGGACACUUAAUGUUAGUCAGGUAUUCAUGAUGGACAAGUGAACGAGUGUCGAGUUGAAGAUCAUGGAUUGUACGUGAAAGUGGUCACAUUGUUUGUAAUUAUUUGUUAACAUAGUUACAUUUAAUAAACAAUGAAUGAUGUAUUUAUGUUAAAAGGGUUGACCUAAACGGUAUUCAAGUAUGGCUCAUUUUCCGCUGCU